rnacentral:sRNA from 1 species
UUUCACACUAUAUAAUUAUGCCUCUAAUCAGCGAGAAGAAUAUCUACUUCUCAAGCUUUUUAAAACUGCUCUGGAGGAAGAAAUAAAAUCAAAAGUGGACCAGGUACAGGACAUAGUUACUGGUAACCCUACAGUCAUCAAGAUGGUCGUCAGCUUCAAUAGAGGUGCCCGGGGACAGAACACCCUGCGCCAACUCCUGGCUCCAGUGGUGAAGGAGAUCAUCGACGACAAGUCGCUGAUUAUCAACACGAACCCUGUAGAGGUGUACAAGGCUUGGGUGAACCAACUAGAAACACAGACUGGAGAGGCCAGCAAGUUGCCUUAUGAUGUGACCACAGAACAAGCUCUAACAUACCCAGAAGUGAAAAAUAAACUGGAGGCUUCCAUUGAGAACCUGAGAAGGGUCACCGACAAAGUCCUGAAUUCUAUCAUUUCUUCCCUUGAUCUACUGCCAAAAACUACUCAGCUGAAGUUGACUGGAACAAUUGCUGUGUGUUUUUUCCUCACUCCGCCUUUUUUCCAUUAUUUUCUUUUGUCAUCUGUUUUAUAUGUAGUUAUGGAUUGAGGUAUAUAGCC